rnacentral:rRNA from 1 species
AUGUUGGGUUAAGUCCCGCAACGAGCGCAACCCUUAUCUUCAGUAGCCAGCAUUUAGGAUGGGCACUCUGGAGAGACUGCCAGGGAUAACCUGGAGGAAGGUGGGGAUGACGUCAAAUCAUCAUGCCCCUUAUGGGCAGGGCUACACACGUGCUACAAUGGCGUAAACAAAGGGAGGCAGAGCCGCGAGGCCGAGCAAAUCUCAAAAAUAACGUCUCAGUUCGGAUUGUAGUCUGCAACUCGACUACAUGAAGCUGGAAUCGCUAGUAAUCGCGAAUCAGAAUGUCGCGGUGAAUACGUUCCCGGGUCUUGUACACACCGCCCGUCACACCAUGGGAGUCAGUAACGCCCGAAGUCAGUGACCCAACCGCAAGGAGGGAGCUGCCGAAGGCGGGACCGAUAACUGGGGUGAAGUCGUAACAAGGUAGCCUCAGUCAGUCA